UACGUAGGGUGCAAGCAUUAAUCGGAUUUAUUGGGCGUAAAGGGCGCGUAGGCGGGGAUGUCAGUCAGAUGUGAAAACCCGGGGCUCAACCUCGGAACAGCAUUUGAAACUACAUCUCUAGAGGGUAGGCGGAGAAAACGGAAUUCCACAAGUAGCGGUGAAAUGCGUAGAUAUGGGGAAGAACACCAGUGGCGAAGGCGGUUUUCUAGCUUAUACCUGACGAUGAUGCGCGAAAGAAAGGGGAGCAAACAGG
rnacentral:rRNA from 1 species